AUUGAACGCUGGCGGCAGGCCUAACACAUGCAAGUCGAGCGGAUGAAGGGAGCUUGCUCCUGGAUUCAGCGGCGGACGGGUGAGUAAUGCCUAGGAAUCUGCCUUGUAGUGGGGGAUAACGUCCGGAAACGGGCGCUAAUACCGCAUACGUCCUGAGGGAGAAAGUGGGGGAUCUUCGGACCUCACGCUAUCAGAUGAGCCUAGGUCGGAUUAGCUAGUUGGUGGGGUAAAGGCCUACCAAGGCGACGAUCCGUAACUGGUCUGAGAGGCUGAUCAGUCACACUGGAACUGAGACACGGUCCAGACUCCUACGGGAGGCAGCAGUGGGGAAUCUUGCACAAUGGGCGAAAGCCUGACGGAGCAACGCCGCGUGAGUGAUGAAGGUCUUCGGAUCGUAAAACUCUUUUAUUAGGGAAGAACAAAUGUGUAAGAAACUAUGCAUGUCUUGACGGUACCAAAUCAGAAAGCCACGGCUAACUACGUG
rnacentral:rRNA from 1 species